GCCUUGGUGACGGAAUUGGUAGACGUAGCGGAUUCAAAAUCCGCCGACCGACAAGGUCGUGGGGGUUCAACUCCCCCCUAAGGCACCA
rnacentral:tRNA from 1 species